rnacentral:rRNA from 1 species
GAUGAACGCUGGCGGCGUGCCUAAUACAUGCAAGUCGAGCGAACAGACGAGGAGCUUGCUCCUCUGACGUUAGCGGCGGACGGGUGAGUAACACGUGGAUAACCUACCUAUAAGACUGGGAUAACUUCGGGAAACCGGAGCUAAUACCGGAUAAUAUAUUGAACCGCAUGGUUCAAUAGUGAAAGACGGUUUUGCUGUCACUUAUAGAUGGAUCCGCGCCGCAUUAGCUAGUUGGUAAGGUAACGGCUUACCAAGGCAACGAUGCGUAGCCGACCUGAGAGGGUGAUCGGCCACACUGGAACUGAGACACGGUCCAGACUCCUACGGGAGGCAGCAGUAGGGAAUCUUCCGCAAUGGGCGAAAGCCUGACGGAGCAACGCCGCGUGAGUGAUGAAGGUCUUCGGAUCGUAAAACUCUGUUAUUAGGGAGGAACAAAUGUGUAAGUAACUAUGCACGUCUUGACGGUACCUAAUCAGAAAGCCACGGCUAACUGCGUG